rnacentral:tRNA from 1 species
GGGGUUGUAGCUCAGUGGUUCCAGCGCCUGCCUCGUAAGCAGAAGAACCUGAGUUUGAUCCUCCGUGGUACCA